CAUAUAGAGAAUUUAUUCUCUAUAUGAGAAUAGAGAAUAAAUUUGGUGCAAGAAAUAAAUAUGGGGUGCAAGAUCUAAAAUAGGAAGACAGGUUAUGAGGCUGUUGGAUCCCCAUUAUAAUGGCAGCUUGGAUGAGAUAGGUUUCAUGAAAAUGGGAAAAAGCAGACAUGUGUGGGAUGUUUUAGGCAGCUGGAAUCAAUAGUACUUAUUUUGAACUCUUCUGGCUUUUGACUGUAGUGGAAAUUUGGAUUGAAG
rnacentral:lncRNA from 1 species